AGAGCAUGCGACCGGCGGCGACAGGAGACGGCGGCGGCGGGGAAAGGAGACGACGGCGGGGAAAGAAGGAGCAAAUCAAAAAGGCGCCGAAGAGAUCCUCCUCCGGCGGCUAGUCCCCGCAGAGAUGGCAGCGAUGGCCACUAUUCGGCAUGCGGGAAGGAGGCUCGUCGGCGGUGGCCGGCUUGCACAGGAGCCCAGCCGGCCUGUGUCUACUACCCCUGCCGGUCUCGGCCGCCCAGAUUUCACCCAGAACUUCCAAUCCCACGGCAGCGAAAAGGCCAAUCUAUUGAUGCAAGUGCAGCAGAAGAAGGAAUUGCUCUACAACCUUAUCUGCGAACACGGCUGUGAGGUCAAUGGCAAGAUAUGCCUGCCAAACAUUGAGCUCCUGCGUCAUCUCUCCGCACAAGUCAAGCCUAGGCCCAGCGAUCUUGCUUGGUGCUUUCUUCGAUUAACACAUACAGCAUAUGUUGCAUGUAUGUGCGCCAGUCCUGUGGUGACUCUCUAUGGGAGUUGGAUCGUCUUCAAAACCACCAGGGACAGAUUGCGUGGAGAAGAGAAUUAGCCGCAUAUGAGCUAUUAUUCUUGAAAGAUGGUGUCGGCACAUUUCAACAACAAUGGCGCGCAAGAUUCUGUAGUCCUGUGUUGUCAUGUAUCUUCAGUUAGCAUUUAUCUAGUUUUCUGAAACAGCAGGAGCUAUUAUUCUUGAAAGAUGGUGUCGGCACAUUUCAACAACAAUGGCGCGCAAGAUUCUGUAGUCCUGUGUUGUCAUGUAUCUUCAGUUAGCAUUUAUCGAAAAUUCACUAUCUUGGAUGUUACUUCUUGCAGUCAUUUACCAUAAUAUGUAUAACUGGGUGUUGCUGGAGCCGUCAAAUUUAGAAGUAUGUGGUAUGACUGAUUA